GGGAAUAUUGGACAAUGGGCGCAAGCCUGAUCCAGCCAUGCCGCGUGAGUGAUGAAGGCCUUAGGGUUGUAAAGCUCUUUUACCAGGGAAGAUAAUGACUGUACCUGGAUAAUAAGCCCCGGCUAACUUCGUGCCAGCAGCCGCGGUAAUACGAAGGGGGCUAGCGUUGCUCGGAAUCACUGGGCGUAAAGCGCACGUAGGUGGGUCGCUUAGUCGGGGGUGAAAUCCUGGAGCUCAACUCCAGAACUGCCUUCGAUACUGGCGAUCUUCGAGUCCGGGAGAGGUGGGUGGAACUGCGAGUGUAGAGGUGAAGUUCGUAGAUAUUCGCAAGAACACCAGUGGCGAAGGCGGCUCACUGGCCCGGUACUGACACUGAGGUGCGAAAGCGUGGGGAGCAAA
rnacentral:rRNA from 1 species